UACGUAGGUGGCAAGCGUUGUCCGGAAUUAUUGGGCGUAAAGCGCGCGCAGGCGGCCUCUUAAGUCUGAUGUGAAAGCUCCCGGCUCAACCGGGGAGGGCCAUUGGAAACUGGGAGGCUUGAGUAUAGGAGAGAAGAGUGGAAUUCCACGUGUAGCGGUGAAAUGCGUAGAGAUGUGGAGGAACACCAGUGGCGAAGGCGACUCUUUGGCCUAUAACUGACGCUGAGGCGCGAAAGCGUGGGGAGCAAACAGGG
rnacentral:rRNA from 1 species